UACGAAGGGGGCUAGCGUUGCUCGGAAUUACUGGGCGUAAAGCGUGCGCAGGCGGUCCGCAAAGUCUGAUGUGAAAGCCCCGGGCUUAACCUGGGAACUGCGUUUGAAACUGGGAGACUUGAGUGUGGCAGAGGGGGGUGGAAUUCUACGUGUAGCAGUGAAAUGCGUAGAUAUCGGGAGGAACAUCAGUGGCGAAGGCGGCCUUCUGGUCCAGUACUGACACUCAAGUGCGAAAGCGUGGGGAGCAAACAGG
rnacentral:rRNA from 1 species